rnacentral:rRNA from 1 species
CUACGGAGGGUGCAAGCGUUAUUCGGAAUCACUGGGCGUAAAGGACGCGUAGGCGGGUUUGUAAGUCAGGUGUGAAAUCCUACAGCUUAACUGUAGAACUGCACUUGAAACUACAGACCUAGAGUAUGGGAGGGGCAGAUGGAAUUAGUGGUGUAGGGGUAAAAUCCGUAGAUAUCACUAGGAAUACCGAAAGCGAAGGCGAUCUGCUGGAACAUAACUGACGCUAAGGCGUGAAAGCGUGGGGAGCAAACAGGAUUAGAAACCCUAGUAGUCC